ACGGCAGCGGACCUUCGGGUGCCGGCGAGUGGCGAACGGGUGAGUAAAGUAUCGGAACGUACCUUUCAGUGGGGGAUAACGUAGCGAAAGUUACGCUAAUACCGCAUAUUCUCUGAGGAGGAAAGCAGGGGACCUUCGGGCCUUGCGCUGAUAGAGCGGCCGAUAUCAGAUUAGCUAGUUGGUGGGGUAAAGGCCUACCAAGGCGACGAUCUGUAGCGGGUCUGAGAGGAUGAUCCGCCACACUGGGACUGAGACACGGCCCAGACUCCUACGGGAGGCAGCAGUGGGGAAUUUUGGACAAUGGGCGAAAGCCUGAUCCAGCCAUGCCGCGUGAGUGAAGAAGGCCUUCGGGUUGUAAAGCUCUUUCGGCCGGGAAGAAAUCGUGUGGGCUAAUACCCUGCAUGGAUGACGGUACCGGAAUAAGAAGCACCGGCUAACUACGUGCCAGCAGCCGCGGUAAUACGUAGGGUGCGAGCGUUAAUCGGAAUUACUGGGGCGUAAAGCGUGCGCAGGCGGUUUGGUAAGACAGGCGUGAAAUCCCCGGGCUCAACCUGGGAACUGCGCUUGUGACUGCCUCACUAGAGUACGGCAGAGGGGGG
rnacentral:rRNA from 1 species